rnacentral:lncRNA from 1 species
UUUUUUUUAGAAUUUGAUUGAGAUUUGAUUAAGAUUCGAUUAGGAUUUAUUUAGGAUUUGAUUAGGAUUUUUUUAGGAUUUUAAUAGGAUUUGAUUAGGAUUUGACUAAGAUUUAUUUAGGAUUUGAUUAGAAUUUGAUUAGGAUUUUUUUAGGAUUUGAUUAGGAGUCAAUUAGAAUUUGAUCAAGAUUUAUCUAAAGAUUGAUUAGGAUUUGACUAGGUUUAACUAAGAUUUAAUUGAAGUUUUUAUUUUGAUAUUUUAUUAAGAGAUCUAUUUUAGUAUCAUUUUUGAAUUUCUUCAUUAUUUUUCUAUGAUUUCUUUAAAA